rnacentral:lncRNA from 1 species
CUAAUGGGAAUGGGCGUGGCCUGGGAGAAGUGGGCGUGGCCUAAUGGGAAUGGGCGUGGCCUGGGAGAAGUGGGCGUGGCCUGUGAUAGGUGGGCGUGGCCUGCAGACCGUGGUGCUCCAGCCCCCAUGGAGUGGGCAUGGCCUAAUGGGAGUGGGCGUGGCCAAAGGGGGCGUGGCAAAAACGGUCGUGGGCGUGGUCUAUAUGGGCGUGGCAACACGGGGCGUGGCCAAUGCAAAUGGGCACGAGUUCCCAUGGGUCUUUGGGGCUCGACCCCUGGGGGUGGGGGCGUGGCCUGUGAGGGGCGUGGCCAAUGCAAAUGGGCAUGAGUUCACAUGGGCCUUGAUCCCUGGGGGUGAGGGGCGUUGCCAAACUGGGGCGUGGCCAACGGGAAUGGGCGUGGCCAAUGCAAACGGGCAUGACUUCCCAUGGGUUCAUGUCGCUCAACCGCAGGGGGUGGGGGCGUGACCAAACGGGGGGCGUGGCCAAACGGGGGGCGUGGCCAAAUUGGGGGGCGUGACCAAAUUGGGGGCGUGGCUAAAGGGAAUGGGCGUGGCCAAUGCAAAC